AUUGAACGCUGGCGGCAGGCCUAACACAUGCAAGUCGAGCGAGCGGCGGACGGGUGAGGAAUGUCUGGGAAACUGCCUGAUGGAGGGGGAUAACUACUGGAAACGGUAGCUAAUACCGCAUACCAUCAGAUGUGCCCAGAUGGGAUUAGCUAGUGGGUGGGGUAACGGCCCACCUAGGCGACGAUCCCUAGCUGGUCUGAGAGGAUGACCAGCCACACUGGAACUGAGACACGGCCCAGACUCCUAGGGGGGUAAGCAGGGGGAAUUAUUGAACAAGGGGGGCAAGCCUGAUGCAGCCAUGCCGGGUGUGUGAAGAGGGCUUUCGGGUUGUAAAGCACUUUCAGCGGGGGGGCGUUACCAGCAAAAAAAGCACCGGCUAACUCCGGGCCAGCGGCCGCGGUAUAC
rnacentral:rRNA from 1 species